rnacentral:rRNA from 1 species
GACGAACCGUGCGAACGUUGUUCGGAAUCAUUGGGCGUAAAGGGUGCGUAGGCGGCGCGGUAAGUCGGGUGUGAAAUCUUGGAGCUUAACUCCGAAACUGCAUUCGAUACUGCCGUGCUUGAGGACUGGAGAGGAGACUGGAAUUUACGGUGUAGCGGUGAAAUGCGUAGAUAUCGUAAGGAAGACCAGUGGCGAAGGCGGGUCUCUGGACAGUUCCUGACGCUGAGGCACGAAGGCCAGGGGAGCAAACGGG